rnacentral:rRNA from 1 species
CCUACGGGUGGCAGCAGUGAGGAAUAUUGGUCAAUGGGCGCGAGCCUGAACCAGCCAAGUCGCGUGAGGGAAGACGGUCCGAUGGAUUGUAAACCUCUUUUGUCGGGGAGCAAAAGACGCCACGCGUGGCGGUCCGAGAGUACCCGAAGAAAAAGCAGCGGCUAACUCCGUGCCAGCAGCCGCGGUAAUACGGAGGAUGCGAGCGUUAGCCGGAUUUAGUGGGUUUAAAGGGUGCGCAGGCGGAAGAUCAAGUCAGCGGUAAAAUUGAGAGGCUCAACCGUAAAAUUGCAGUUGAAACUGGCAGUCUUGCGUACCGUAGAGGUGGGCGUACUUCGUGGUGUAGCG